CCUACGGGAGGCAGCAGUGGGGAAUAUUGCACAAUGGGGGAAACCCUGAUGCAGCGACGCCGCGUGAGUGAAGAAGUAUCUCGGUACGUAAAGCUCUAUCAGCAGGGAAGAAAAUGACGGUACCUGACUAAGAAGCCCCGGCUAACUACGUGCCAGCAGCCGCGGUAAUACGUAGGGGGCAAGCGUUAUCCGGAUUUACUGGGUGUAAAGGGAGCGUAGACGGCAGCGCAAGCCUGGAGUGAAAUCCCGGGGCUCAACCCCGGAACUGCUUUUGAAACUGCGCGGCUGGAGUGCAGGAGGGGUAAGCGGAAUUCCUAGUGUAGCGGUGAAAUGCGUAGAUAUUAGGAGGAACACCGGUGGCGAAGGCGGCUUACUGGACUGUAACUGACGUUGAGGCCCGAAAGCGUGGGGAGCAAACAGGAUUAGAUACCCGUGUAGUC
rnacentral:rRNA from 1 species